CCAAGGGGCGCCGGCGCAUGCCGGCUGAGACGGGGCGUAACGCCGUCCCGAUCCCUCAGACCUGAUCCGGACAAUGCCGGCGUAGGGAUGGUGUC
rnacentral:ncRNA from 1 species